UCCGAAUUGGUGUAGUGGCCAACAUUUGACGCUCUCAUGAUCUAACAGUCAUCGGUGUUCCGUCAAGCCCGGGGUUCGAUUCCCCGAUUCGGAG